GGUUCUGUGGUGUAGUUGGUUAUCACGUCUCGUUCACACCGAGGAGGUCUCGCGUUCGAACCGCGGCAGAAUCA